UACGAAGGGGGCUAGCGUUGCUCGGAAUUACUGGGCGUAAAGCGCACGUAGGCGGUCUUUUAAGUCGGGGGUGAAAUCCUGGAGCUCAACUCCAGAACUGCCUUCGAUACUGGAAGACUUGAGUCCGGGAGAGGUGAGUGGAACUGCGAGUGUAGAGGUGAAAUUCGUAGAUAUUCGCAAGAACACCAGUGGCGAAGGCGGCUCACUGGCCCGGUACUGACGCUGAGGUGCGAAAGCGUGGGGAGCAAACAGGAU
rnacentral:rRNA from 1 species